GCCUGGCCGGCUCAGUCAGUUGAGCUUCUGACUUCGGCUCAGGUCAUGAUCUCAUGGUUCGUGGGUUCAAGCCCUGCGUCGGGCU
rnacentral:tRNA from 1 species